GCCUACGGGGCGCAGCAGUAGGGAAUCUUCCACAAUGGACGAAAGUCUGAUGGAGCAACGCCGCGUGAGUGAAGAAGGGUUUCGGCUCGUAAAGCUCUGUUGGUAGUGAAGAAAGAUAGAGGUAGGAACUGGCCUUUAUUUGACGGGAAUUACUUAGAAAGUCACGGCUAACUAAGUGCCAGCAGCCGCGGGAAUACGGAGGUGGCAAGCGGUGUCCGGAGUUAUUGGGCGUAAAGGGAGGGCAGGCGGGUCGAAAA
rnacentral:rRNA from 1 species